rnacentral:rRNA from 1 species
GGAGGGCGCAAGCGUUGUUCGGAAUCAUUGGGCGUAAAGCGCGUGUAGGCGGCUUGGCAAGUCGGACGUGAAAGCCCGGGGCUCAACCCCGGAACUGCGCUCGAAACUGCCUCGCUAGAGUCCCGGAGAGGAGGGCGGAAUUCCCGGUGUAGAGGUGAAAUUCGUAGAUAUCGGGAGGAACACCGGCGGCGAAGGCGGCCCUCUGGACGGUGACUGACGCUCAGACGCGAAAGCGUGGGGAGCAAACAGGAUUAGAUACCCUGGGUAGUCCACGCCGUAAACGUUGGGUGCUAGGUGUCGCGGGUAUUGACCCCCUGCGGUGCCGCCGUUAACGCAUUUAGCACCCCGCCUGGGGAGUACGGUCGCAAGGCUA